AGGAUACAACUAUAAUUAAACCAAGAAGUUUAUGAAGAAGGGAUCACUGGAUUUUGUCACUUUGGUACAAGAAGCAGAAAAGGAUAUCAUAGACCACCUUACUUAUACGGAAGCAUAGGAGCUGUUGAAGGAAAUUGCUGCCAGACAGUCAGCAGUAAUCACUGACAGCCUGUCCUGGCCCAGCUUGGACCAUCCUCAAGCUAACCAUGAUGGUGUGUUUGCAAGAAUUGUCCAUUUGGUAGACCAUGAUGAAGACCAGCUUUGUUGUGGCAUGGCCUGACAAUACUGUACAAGCCAGAGACCAAAAAAGGGUUAAGUGGUGACUGAUCCUCUCACCCUCCUUAUCCAGGAAACGUUUCGGAACAACGUGUUGGCACUGAAGAUGUGGAGGACACAGAUUGAUCACAGUACAUCCUUUGGAUACAUGGACACCUUCAACGGGACGACAACAAAACUGUACCUGCCUUUUUUAUGAAAGGAAGUAGUUAAUAAAAUUAUUGUUAACAGCUUUUUUAGUCUUGUUGUUUAAGAAUGCUUGCAACAUUUAAGUGGAUAAACGGUUGUUUUAAAUUUGAAUCUUCAGUAAUGAAUUUUUUAUUAAAUGAUGUAAUCUUAUUUCUUUCAAUAUAGUGUAAAUAAUAAGAACAUAAUUAUCCUUUGUAUACAAAAUGAAAACCAAGUUUACUGUUCUAUUAAUCAUUAUUUAUUUAUCUUGUUCUUUUGUCAGAAAUAUUACAGGGGCAUACAUACAGUAUUCCUUAAAUAAAAGGGGCAGUUCUUAGAAAAUAAACAUGUAUAGUAGCAAUGCAUAUUCAAACUUUUUCCACAUUUAUAACCAGCAACAAUAUGUAAG